GCAUUGGUUGUUCAGUAGUAGAAUUCUCGCCUCCAACGUGGGAGAGCCGGGUUCAAUUCCUGGCCAAUGAA
rfam:Gorilla gorilla gorilla genomic chromosome, chr1, whole genome shotgun sequence